rnacentral:rRNA from 1 species
UGCGUAGGCGGGCUAAUAAGUCAGUGGUGAAAUCUCUCGGCUUAACCGGGAAACUGCCAUUGAUACUGUUAGUCUUGAGUUCGGUUGAGGUAGGCGGAAUGUGUAAUGUAGCGGUGAAAUGCUUAGAUAUUACACAGAACACCAAUUGCGUAGGCAGCUUACUAGACCGACACUGACGCUGAGGCACGAAAGCGUGGGGAGCGAACAGGAUUAGAUACCCUGGUAGUCC